GACGAACGCUGGCGGCGUGCUUAACACAUGCAAGUCGAACGAUGAAGGAAGCUUGCUUCUGGAUUAGUGGCGAACGGGUGAGUAACACGUGAGUAACCUGCCCUUGACUCUGGGAUAAGCACUGGAAACGGUGUCUAAUACCGGAUACGAACCUCAGCCGCAUGGCUAGGGGUUGGAAAGAAUUUUGGUCAAGGAUGGACUCGCGGCCUAUCAGCUAGUUGGUGAGGAACGGCCCACCAAGGCGACGACGGGUAGCCGGCCUGAGAGGGUGACCGGCCACACUGGGACUGAGACACGGCCCAGACUCCUACGGGAGGCAGCAGUGGGGAAUAUUGCACAAUGGGCGAAAGCCUGAUGCAGCAACGCCGCGUGAGGGACGACGGCCU
rnacentral:rRNA from 1 species